ensembl:snoRNA
AGCUUAAUGAUGAUUGGUUUUUUUUUGAUUGCUUGAAGCAAUGUGAAAAACACAUUUCACCGGCUCUGAAAGCU